rnacentral:rRNA from 1 species
UGGGGAAUCUUGCACAAUGGGGGCAACCCUGAUGCAGCGACGCCGCGUGAGCGAUGAAGCCCUUCGGGGCGUAAAGCUCUUUCGACCGGAACGAUAAUGACGGUACCGGGAGAAGAAGCUGCGGCUAACUACGUGCCAGCAGCCGCGGUAAUACGUAGGCAGCAAGCGUUGUUCGGAGUUACUGGGCGUAAAGAGUGCGUAGGCGGUUUUCUAAGUUCGGUGUGAAAUCUCCCGGCUUAACUGGGAGGGUGCGCCGAAGACUGGGAAGCUGGAGUGUGGGAAAGGCAGGCGGAAUUCCUGGUGUACCGGUGAAAUGCGUAGAUAUCAGGAGGAACACCGGCGGUGUAGACGGCUUGCUAGACCAUAACUGACGCUGAGGCACGAAAGCGUGGGUAGCAAACA